CGGAGGGGCGUAGCGUUGUUCGGAAUUACUGGGGCGUAAAGACGCACGUAGGCGGACUGGAAAGUCAGAGGUGAAAUCCCAGGGCUCAACCUUGGAACUGCCUUUGAAACUAUCAGUCUGGAGUUCGAGAGAGGUGAGUGGAAUUCCGAGUGUAGAGGUGAAAUUCGUAGAUAUUCGGAGGAACACCAGUGGCGAAGGCGGCUCACUGGCUCGAUACUGACGCUGAGGUGCGAAAGACGUGGGGAGCGAAACAGGAUU
rnacentral:rRNA from 1 species